GGCCGACUAGCUCAGUUGGUUAGAGCGUCGUGCUAAUAUAAUCCUUGAAGUAAUAUUAACGCGAAGGUCUUGGGUUCGAUCCCCACGUUGGCCA